AUUGAACGCUGGCGGAAUGCUCUACACAUGCAAGUCGAACGGCAGCACGGGAGCUUGCUCCUGGUGGCGAGUGGCGAACGGGUGAGUAACGCGUCGGAACGUACCGAGUAAUGGGGGAUAACGCAGCGAAAGCUGUGCUAAUACCGCAUACGCCCUGAGGGGGAAAGUGGGGGAUCGCAAGACCUCACGUUAUUCGAGCGGCCGACGUCUGAUUAGCUUGUUGGUGGGGUAAUGGCCUACCAAGGCGACGAUCAGUAGCGGGUCUGAGAGGAUGAUCCGCCACACUGGAACUGAGACACGGUCCAGACUCCUACGGGAGGCAGCAGUGGGGAAUUUUGGACAAUGGGGGCAACCCUGAUCCAGCCGUUCCGCGUGAGUGAAGAAGGCCUUCGGGUUGUAAAGCUCUUUCAGCUGGAACGAAACGGUACAUCCUAAUACGGUGUGCUAAUGACGGUACCAGCAGAAGAAGCACCGGCUAACUACGUGCNNNNCAGCCGCGGUAAUACGUAGGGUGCGAGCGUUAAUCGGAAUUACUGGGCGUAAAGCGUGCGCAGGNNNAUUGUUAAGCAAGAUGUGAAAUCNNNNNGGCUUAUCCUGGGAAUGGCAUUUUGAACUGGCAGUCUAGAGUGUGUCAGAGGGGGGUGGAAUUCCACGUGUAGCAGUGAAAUGCGUAGAGAUGUGGAGGAACACCAAUGGCGAAGGCAGCCCCCUGGGAUAACACUGACGCUCAUGUACGAAAGCGUGGGUAGCAAACAGGAUUAGAUACCCUGGUAGUCCACGCCCUAAACGAUGUCAACUGGUUGUUGGGGGAGUGAAAUCCCUUAGUAACGAAGCUAACGCGUGAAGUUGACCGCCUGGGGAGUACGGUCGCAAGAUUAAAACUCAAAGGAAUUGACGGGGACCCGCACAAGCGGUGGAUGAUGUGGAUUAAUUCGAUGCAACGCGAAAAACCUUACCUACCCUUGACAUGUCCAGAACCCUGCAGAGAUGCGGGGGUGCCCGAAAGGGAAUUGGAACACAGGUGCUGCAUGGCUGUCGUCAGCUCGUGUCGUGAGAUGUUGGGUUAAGUCCCGCAACGAGCGCAACCCUUAUCAUUAGUUGCUACGCAAGGGCACUCUAAUGAGACUGCCGGUGACAAACCGGAGGAAGGUGGGGAUGACGUCAAGUCCUCAUGGCCCUUAUGGGUAGGGCUUCACACGUCAUACAAUGGUCGGUACAGAGGGUUGCCAAGCCGCGAGGUGGAGCCAAUCCCAGAAAGCCGAUCGUAGUCCGGAUCGUUCUCUGCAACUCGAGAGCAUGAAGUCGGAAUCGCUAGUAAUCGCGGAUCAGCAUGUCGCGGUGAAUACGUUCCCGGGUC
rnacentral:rRNA from 1 species